rfam:Yarrowia lipolytica strain CLIB122 chromosome F complete sequence.
GGGCUUGUAGUGUAGUGGCUAUCGCGUCCGUUUCGCAUACGGAAGGUCUCCGGUUCGACUCCGGACUGGUCCA